CUGAUGGCGACCGGCGCACGGGUGCGUAACGCGUAUGCAACCUACCCAUUACAGGGGGAUAACACUGAGAAAUCGGUACUAAUACCCCAUAACAUCCAGGGAGGCAUCUUCUUGGGUUGAAAACUCCGGUAGUAAUGGAUGGGCAUGCGUUGUAUUAGUUAGUUGGUGGGGUAACGGCUCACCAAGACAACGAUACAUAGGGGGACUGAGAGGUUAACCCCCCACAUUGGUACUGAGACACAGACCAAACUCCUACGGGAGGCAGCAG
rnacentral:rRNA from 1 species